GGUCGCGUGGUGUAGUCGGUUAUCACAUCUGUCUAACCACACAGAAGGUCUCCAGUUCGAUCCUGGACGCAACCA